UACGUAGGGUGCAAGCGUUGUCCGGAAUUAUUGGGCGUAAAGAGCUCGUAGGCGGUCUGUCGCGUCUGCUGUGAAAACUCAGGGCUUAACCCUGAGCUUGCAGUGGGUACGGGCAGACUAGAGUGCGGUAGGGGAGACUGGAACUUCUGGUGUAGACGGUGAAAUGACGCAGAUAGUCAGGAGGGAACACCGGUGGGCGAAGGCGGGUCUCUGGGCCGUAACUGACGCUGGAGGAGCGGAAAAGCCCAUGGGGGAGCGAACAGGA
rnacentral:rRNA from 1 species